UACAGAGGUCUCAAGCGUUGUUCGGAUUCAUUGGGCGUAAAGGGUGCGUAGGCGGCGGGGCAAGUCUGAUGUGAAAUCCCGGGGCUCAACCCCGGAACUGCAUUGGAUACUGCCCUGCUAGAGUACUGGAGAGGAGACUGGAAUUUACGGUGUAGCAGUGAAAUGCGUAGAUAUCGUAAGGAAGACCAGUGGCGAAGGCGAGUCUCUGGACAGUUACUGACGCUGAGGCACGAAGGCCAGGGGAGCAAACGGG
rnacentral:rRNA from 1 species